AUUAAGAUGACGAGUUCCAAAUAGGAGGAAAUCCGCUUCCUUGAU
rnacentral:hammerhead_ribozyme from 1 species